GUGGCCCCAAGUCAGGUGAGGCCCACCCGCCGAG
rnacentral:rRNA from 1 species